rnacentral:lncRNA from 1 species
UGUCCACCGACUGAUGUAUAAAAUUCGAAUCGACAAUUUCUCACCGUCCAAUCAGAGGCGCGCUAUGGUUCAUUUAGAAUUCUGCCUAUUAUUUAAUGUAUAAUUUUUCCAAAAGGUGAAAUGAAAGUGUUUAAUUAAAGAUUUUCCAUCCCGUCGACUGAUGAUUUAAAGUGAGAAUCAUCAAUUCCUUUGUGCUAAACGUUUCAUUCCAAAGAAGUAUACAUUAGACUCUAAUAUAUGUUUUUUUUUUUUUUUUGCGGGGAUUUAUCGCGUUGGAAUGGUAUUCGCGAGCGAUGUGUUUUAUAUUUUUAUAUACAGUAUAUAUAUAUAUGCGAAACAUACGUGACAAAGUAUCGGGAGUCACGUCAGUAUACAAAAAAUGGGAACGCGUAUCGUGUGACCGGGGGCCUUUUUAAAGAGAAACAGUGUUGUAGGUGGAUAUGUCAGUCGCCAGAAAAAUUACUGUUCUUGUAUUCAAAUAGUUUUUUUUUAGCCUCGAGGGAUUGAAUGGUAAUUGUGUGCCCGGUAUACUCGUAACGGGAGAACACUACUCCGUAUUAAUACGAGAAUAAUUAAAAUCCUAUUCCAUAUGUCCAUUUUUGUUUUAAAUUUCGAAAAGUUUCUCCGAUAAGUGUUUUGCUUAUAAACACUAAAAAUUUGGAUUUUUUUUUUAUAGGAAAGAAUAUCGAAAGAAUUUUGGGUAUAAUAAAAAUACCCUAAUUUUU